UACGGAGGGUGCAAGCGUUAUCCGGAUUUAUUGGGUUUAAAGGGUCCGUAGGCGGAUCUGUAAGUCAGUGGUGAAAUCUCAUAGCUUAACUAUGAAACUGCCAUUGAUACUGCAGGUCUUGAGUAAAGUAGAAGUGGCUGGAAUAAGUAGUGUAGCGGUGAAAUGCAUAGAUAUUACUUAGAACACCAAUUGCGAAGGCAGGUCACUAUGUUUUAACUGACGCUGAUGGACGAAAGCGUGGGGAGCGAACAGG
rnacentral:ncRNA from 4 species